rnacentral:rRNA from 1 species
CAUGCCUAACACAUGCAAGUCGAACGGUAAGGCUUCCUUCGGGAAGUACACGAGUGGCGAACGGGUGAGUAACACGUGGGUAACCUACCCUUGACUGGGGGACAACCGAGGGAAACUUCGGCUAAUACCGCAUAACGUGCAUUGCCUCAAGGUGGUGUACCAAAGCUCCGGCGGUUAAGGAUGGGCCCGCGGCAGAUUAGCUUGUUGGUGAGGUAACGGCUUACCAAGGCGACGAUCUGUAGCUGGUCUGAGAGGACGAUCAGCCACACUGGAACUGAGACACGGUCCAGACUCCUACGGGAGGCAGCAGUGGGGAAUAUUGGACAAUGGGCGCAAGCCUGAUCCAGCCAUGCCGCGUGAGUGAUGACGGCCCUAGGGUUGUAAAGCUCUUUCACCGGUGAAGAUAAUGACGGUAACCGGAGAAGAAGCCCCGGCUAACUUCGUGCCAGCCGCCGCUGUAA